rnacentral:lncRNA from 1 species
GUGUCCUUGUUCACCAAAGCCUUGUGCACCCCGCUGUACACCUGUGCUGAGCUCCACUACACCAUCCACCUUAGUGGCCACCUACUCCAUUCAGUAUCCCUAGGUAGCCAACCCUAGAAAAGACUUUUUUUUUUAAUUCGCUCUCCACGCACGAACCCCAGCAAUGAGGGAACCCACACCAAAGCUACCAUAUUCCCAAACCCUUUUAGUCCUGUCUCCCCAUACUAGACCCCAACCAAGCCAUAAACUAGAGGAAGACCUUCCGUUCUGCUUCCAUAGACAUCAGCACCAAGCACUAACAUGGCACCCUUCAUCCUUGCUCCAACACACCCAAACCAUCCCUAAAGCACUCUUAAACUCAACAGAGCCCUGGCACCCAUUCCAUCAACCUAGCAAGCAUGACUCUUAAGACUUCAAUAGCCUUCCUCGUCGUUUGGCCAACACCCAACCCCUGUAUGCGCCAAACUGGUUGCACCCUCUUCAAUAGCCUCCCUUGUUGCCCAGCCAACACAUAGCAUUACACUUCUCCACCAACACCAAGCUCUGGCCUAACAACUAAAUCCAUCACAGUUGAUUUGCACCAAGCACUGCCAAAUCCCAAUUUAACCCAACGCUUUUCUAUUUGAACAAAAACACUACUAAAACAAUCUGCCAUACCUAAAUUAAACACAUCUCCACACACACCCCUAGCCUCCACACGCACACCGCCAACACCUCGGCCCUUGCACGAACCUAACACACAAAUACCCUAAAAAGAACCACCAUAAACACCCCAUUCAGCAAUCUAUAGCAAACUAAAGAAAACAAAAACACACAGUCCUUCCCCUGAAUGAGGAACCCGCACUAAGCCUCCUUGUAAAAAAAUCAAAAGCAAAGAAUAAAAAUCAGUCAGUUUACAAAAAAUAAAUAAAUAAAAGAAAGACAGCUACGCUGUAAGAAAGUGAAUGCUAACGGCGUCUUUUAGAAGAUCAAGAUUGCUGAAGAAGUAGAUCAAAUAGGGAAGAACAACAUAUUAAAAGAUCAAAAGGAUCCGAUGGUGGGAUCGUAACUUUUAGCAGUUUGAAGUUUUGGGUUUUAGGUUUAGAUCUAAAAACGUGGAGGCUGAUUUAUGGAAAAUGGAGCCUAAAUCUGAGAAGAAGGUUAAAAAAAAAAGCGUUUAGGCAUUUUUUAAAGGCCAAACGGCAUGAAUCAGGGGUUGGAGAUGACGUGGUACAGCAACACCGACGGUGGUGUAUUGCUGGAAGCUAGGUUGUGGGAAGGGAUUUUCUUUUUUUGUUGAAAAGAAA